rnacentral:rRNA from 1 species
ACGAACGCUGGCGGCGUGCCUAAUACAUGCAAGUAGAACGCUGAAGAGAGGAGCUUGCUCUUCUUGGAUGAGUUGCGAACGGGUGAGUAACGCGUAGGUAACCUGCCUUGUAGCGGGGGAUAACUAUUGGAAACGAUAGCUAAUACCGCAUAACAAUGGAUGACACAUGUCAUUUAUUUGAAAGGGGCAAUUGCUCCGCUACAAGAUGGACCUGCGUUGUAUUAGCUAGUAGGUGAGGUAAUGGCUCACCUAGGCGACGAUACAUAGCCGACCUGAGAGGGUGAUCGGCCACGCUGGGACUGAGACACGGCCCAGACUCCUACGGGAGGCAGCAGUAGGGAAUCUUCGGCAAUGGGGGCAACCCUGACCGAGCAACGCCGCGUGAGUGAAGAAGGUUUUCGGAUCGUAAAGCUCUGUUGUAAGUCAAGAACGGGUGUGAGAGUGGAAAGUUCACACUGUGACGGUAGCUUACCAGAAAGGGACGGCUAACUACGUG